rnacentral:rRNA from 1 species
AGUAGAGUGGCGCACGGGUGAGUAACGCGUAAGUAAUCUACCCUCGCAUCUGGGAUAACCCACCGAAAGGUGUGCUAAUACCGGAUACGUCUAAGUUAAUAUCUUUUUUUUAGAGAAAGGUGGCCUCUGAUUCAAGCUACUGUGCGGGGAGGAGCUUGCGUACCAUUAGCUAGUUGGUAGGGUAACGGCCUACCAAGGCGACGAUGGUUAGCGGGUCUGAGAGGAUGAUCCGCCACACUGGAACUGAAACACGGACCAGACUCCUACGGGAGGCAGCAGUGAGGAAUAUUGCGCAAUGGGGGCAACCCUGACGCAGCGACGCCGCGUGGAUGAUGAAGGCCUUCGGGUUGUAAAAUCCUGUCAGAUGGGAAGAAGUGCUAUAUGGUUAAUACCUGUAUAGUUUGACGGUACCAUCAAAGGAAGCACCGGUUAACUCCGUGCCAGCAGCCGCGGUAAUACGGAGGGUGCAAGCGUUGUUCGGAAUUACUGGGCGUAAAGCGCGCGUAGGCGGCUAUGUAAGUCAGAUGUGAAAGCCCGCGGCUCAACCGUGGAAGUGGCAUUUGAAACUGGUAUA